UCUGCCUGUCUUGGCCUCCCAAAGUGCUGGAAUUGCAGGCAUAAGUCACUGCCUCUAGCCUGGGGAGGGAGGGUUACUGUUGAAGUAUUAUCUUUGUAUCCUAAAACAUGCCCUUUUGAAAGCGAUGACGUUGAUAAAAAUCUUCUACUGAAGUCUUUGCAAGUCAAAGAACUUAAUGCUUCCUAAAUCCAAAUAUUAAAGUUAAAAAAAGAGAAAGGAAAUGUGUGCAGAGAAAGUGUGUUUUACAAGUUAAUUAAAGAUGGAUUCACAGAUGUUUGUAGAUUUACCUAGAGUUUUGAAUUCAGGAAGCCAUCAUUCUUCAGAAGGCAAUGACGGAACAGUACCAGCAGCAACUGAAGGACCAGCAGAAGAAUUUCCCUGGCUAAUACCUCCAGUACCCUGCUGAGUAGAGUGGUUAAAGUGGAAAUUCUUGCCUUCUCAAACUUUCAGUGUGUGGUGGGGUCUCUUCCAAACACUCCUGAAGGAAACUUUACUUCUCCUAUGAUGGAAUCAGGAAUUACUCGACAAACCUAAACUGUGAAUGUACUCUCAGCAAUCCAAAUCAGGAAAAUUCAUCUAUUUAUAAUCAUUUUGAAGAUUUUUACCUAGAAAGUCACCAAGACUGUCAAUUUGAUGUCCUAGAGUUUCGAGUGGAGGUGGGAUCUUUCCAUGUUGCCCAGGCUGCUCUUGAACUCUUAGCUUCAUGGAAGACUCCCACUUUGGCCUCCCAAAAUGCUGGAAUUACAGCCAUGAGCCAUUGUGCCCAACCCUGGAGUGUUACGAAUAAUUCGUCUGGCUUAGAAAAACUGAAAGGAGUGACUGCUAACAGACACAAGACAUGAAUGAGGUCUCACUUUGGUGCCUAGCCUGGUC